AUUGAACGCUGGCGGCAGGCCUAACACAUGCAAGUCGAACGAGUGGCGGACGGGUGAGUAAUGUCUGGGAAACUGCCUGAUGGAGGGGGAUAACUACUGGAAACGGUAGCUAAUACCGCAUACCAUCGGAUGUGCCCAGAUGGGGUUAGUUUGUUGGUGGGGUAACUGCUCCCCCAGGCGACGAUCCCUAGCUGGUCUGAGAGGAUUAUCAGCCACACUAGGACGGAGACACGGCCCAGACUCCUACGGGAGGCAGCAGUGGGGAAUAUUGCACAAUGGGCGCAAGCCUGAUGCAGCCAUGCCGCGUGUAUGAAGAAGGCCCUAGGGUUGUAAAGUACUUUCAGUCGGGAGGCGUUACCGACAGAAGAAGCACCGGCUAACUCCGUGCCAGCAGCCGCGGUAAUAC
rnacentral:rRNA from 1 species